rnacentral:rRNA from 1 species
GACGAACGCUGGCGGCGUGCUUAACACAUGCAAGUCGAACGGAAAGGCCCUGCUUUUGUGGGGUGCUCGAGUGGCGAACGGGUGAGUAACACGUGAGUAACCUGCCCUUGACUUUGGGAUAACUUCAGGAAACUGGGGCUAAUACCGGAUAGGAGCUCCUGCUGCAUGGUGGGGGUUGGAAAGUUUCGGCGGUUGGAAGUGGACUCGCGGGUUAUCAGCUUGUUGGUGGGGUAGUGGCUUACCAAGGCUUUGACGGGUAGCCGGCCUGAGAGGGUGACCGGCCACAUUGGGACUGAGAUACGGCCCAGACUCCAACGGGAGGCAGCAGUGGGGAAUAUUGCACAAUGGUCGGAAGCCUGAUGCAGCAACGCCGCGUGCGGGAUGACGGCCUUCGUGUUGUAAACCGCUUUCGCCUGUGACGAAGCGUGAGUGACGGUAAUGGGUAAAGAAGCACCGGCUAACUACGUG